AAUGGCUGAACGUUACAAGUGUGC
rnacentral:piRNA from 1 species